rnacentral:rRNA from 1 species
GAUGAACGCUGGCGGCGUGCCUAAUACAUGCAAGUCGAGCGAACAGACGAGGAGCUUGCUCCUCUGAUGUUAGCGGCGGACGGGUGAGUAACACGUGGAUAACCUACCUAUAAGACUGGGAUAACUUCGGGAAACCGGAGCUAAUACCGGAUAACAUGUUGAACCGCAUGGUUCAACAGUGAAAGACGGUCUUGCUGUCACUUAUAGAUGGAUCCGCGCCGCAUUAGCUAGUUGGUAAGGUAACGGCUUACCAAGGCAACGAUGCGUAGCAGACCUGAGAGGGUGAUCGGCCACACUGGAACUGAGACACGGUCCAGACUCCUACGGGAGGCAGCAGUAGGGAAUCUUCCGCAAUGGGCGAAAGCCUGACGGAGCAACGCCGCGUGAGUGAAGAAGGUCUUCGGAUCGUAAAACUCUGUUAUUAGGGAAGAACAAAUGUGUAAGUAACUAUGCACGUCUUGACGGUACCUAAUCAGAAAGCCACGGCUAACUACGUG